rnacentral:snoRNA from 1 species
AAGACUAUACUUUCAGGGAUCAUUUCUAUAGUUUGUUACUAGAAUGUAAAUAAACUUAGUGAUGAAUUACUAUAAGCAUCUACACAAUCAUAUUUUACUUUGAGUAAUGAUGAAAUCCUAGCUAAAAUAACUUCUGUUCUGCCUGGUCAUAUUUCUAGAUAUGAUAGGUUUGUCUUCAGCUCUAUCGUUGCAUGAAUGUGAUGAGAUGUAUGC